UACUGUACCAGCGUGAAGUUUUCUACACCAGAAUGGUAGAAUGACCAACGAAGAACCCCUUUCAUUCUCUGGCGUACACGGAAAAGGUGCGAAUUAAAAGCGAGGGUCGACCGCUGCCUGAGAUCAGUUUCAUGAAGAAAGAUGAAAAGGUGAGCUCGUUCAAUAUCACCUGGUAUCAAAAGUAUAGCUGGUUAACAGGGAGCCUGUAUUAAUGGUCUUGCCUGCGUUUUUGGGCAUGCAAUAAUUUGCUUUUAGAGGACACGACGAGAUGGAAAGUUCCGCCGACAAGGAGUUUUGCCGAGAGGUGAUGACUACUCCACCCUACUACCUUUGUCAAAUUUCUCCUGACAUGAACUGAAGCCACGUCUCAUGUGCCCGCACAUCCACUGGCACAUUGAAUGUUUCCCCUCCAAGUACUUCAAAUCCUGUCCUGCGCUGGUCAAGCCUUUGAACACCUCAACUCAGGCCCUCAUUCAAUCACUGCUGUGAUCCCUUUCCAACAGUGUAUUGCCCCUCCUGCCAGACAUAGACCAAGGUGAGCCAGCCUCAGCUUCCGAUGGCCCUUCAGGUGAUGGGGACUCAGCACGGGCAUCUGUUUCCAACAAUGUGUCUGUGUCGUAGCUGAUGUGUUUGGAUGAGGGGUGUGAGGUUGCUGGCCAAGUCCAUCCAUACCCGGUAGUACUGUGAAAGGUCUGUCUAAAAUGGGCAAAGGUCAUACAACUAGAUAUGACAGUACGCUGAUUUAUCUGUGCACUAUACACCAAAUAAGAAGGUUUUGUGCUCUAGAAGUUCAAAAGUUCAAGCAAAAUAUAUGUUUUUGGCUCUACAAUCAGAAUGUACUGUAAGUUAAUAAGGUGUGAUGGGAUAAAAAUAUCUACAUUUGAGAGUAGAACUUGAUCUAGUGUUGACAUUGAGCACACUCUUUCCCAUGUAAGUCAGUAGAGACCAGAACAUACCAAAUGUCAUGUGCUCACAGCUCAGUGUGUGCUGGAGGGAGAAAGAUUGAUAGGUGUCUUAAUAACAUUAAUCACAGCAAACCUAUUUAACAGUUUAAAACCCUGGUAGCACAUGGUAUUUGUGGAUCAAGAGUCACUGGAGGAAAUACCAUGGGUCACUGAGACUGAAAAUAAUUUCAACCUUCUCAUAUUAUUGGUGCGGAAUCUACAGACUGACGUUACAUGUGGAAGGAAGUAGGUCCUCUAUGUUGCUUUUCAUAUCUCAAAACCAAAACCAGGCAGUUAUUUGAAAGAUGACUUGGCUGAUCUAAUUUGUAGAGAGCAGAGAAAUCAAGCUUGCUUCAUCAGCAAAACAAAACAGCCCUUAAUGGAAAAUGUACCGAUGUGGUAAUAAAUAAAAUGCCAACAGAUGAAAACCUGAAGUCUCACCAUUAAUACAAUUCUGUUAACAGUAAUUGCAGUCAUCUUGAGACAUUUUCUGACAACAUGCUGAACUCAAAUGACAUGUAUAAAGUUAGAAAAAGAUGCCUUACUGCUGGCUGCUUGAGGAGGAAUCCAAACUCUUAAAACA